ACUCAAAUGAAUUGACGGGGACUUGCACAAGCGGUGGAUUAUGUGGCUCAAUUCGAUAGCAAACGAAGAACCUCACCAGGGUUUGAAACUCAACUGUAAGCCUUAGGAAACUUUGGCCCUCGCAAGACUGUUGGGCAGGUGAUGCAUGGUCGUCGUCAGUUCGUGGCUUGAGUUGUUCCCUUCAGUGGGGUAACGAACGCAACCCUCGUUGUCUGUUUUAAAAGUCAGGCGAGACUGCUCCCUCACGGGAGAGGAAGGUGAGGAUGACGCCAGAUCAGCAUGUCCCUCUGAUAUCCUGGGCUGCACACAUAAUACAAUGGCAUAGACAACGGGUCGCGACGGGGUAACCCUGAGCUAAUCCUCAUAACUAUGCCCCAGUUCGGAUUGAGGUCUGCAACUCGACCUCAUGAAGCCGGAAUCGCUAGUAAUCGCGGGUCAGCUAUACCGCGGUGAAUACGUUCUCAAGUCUUGCACACACCGCCCGU
rnacentral:rRNA from 1 species